UACGGAGGGAGCUAGCGUUGUUCGGAAUUACUGGGCGUAAAGCGCGCGUAGGCGGCUUUGUAAGUUAGAGGUGAAAGCCCGGGGCUCAACCCCGGAAUUGCCUUUAAGACUGCAUCGCUUGAAUCCGGGAGAGGUGAGUGGAAUUCCGCGUGUAGCAGUGAAAUGCGUAGAUAUGCGGAGGAACACCGAUGGCGAAGGCAAUCCCCUGGACCUGUACUGACGCUCAUGCACGAAAGCGUGGGGAGCAAACAGG
rnacentral:rRNA from 1 species